rnacentral:lncRNA from 1 species
AUCUCAGAAGGAUGCACCUAUAGGGCCUACAUCUCUGUCUGCAGUCUGCAUACCUUCUUCUUUUGAGUGCUUUUCUCUCAACUCAUUUUGCUGGAGCUCCUAAAUAUCUCUCAAGGAAUAAGAAGAAAGUAGGCAGAAGAAGAUUCCAAAUGCAUGCUUGAUGAUCAUGGUGAGAUAUCUGAUUUUAAAAGUACCUAUAAAGUCAAUGAA